rnacentral:rRNA from 1 species
GACAGAGGCUCCAAGCGUUAGGCGGAAUCACUGGGCUUAAAGCGUGUGUAGGCGGACGCCUAAGUGUCUUGUGAAAUCCCACGGCUCACCCGUGGAACUGCUGGGCAUACUGGGCGUCUUGGGCCAACUAGGGGCAGCCGGAACAAGCGGUGGAGCGGUGAAAUGCGUAGAUAUCGCUUGGAACGCCGAAGGUGAAAACAGGCUGCUGGGGUUGUGCCGACGCUGAGGUGCGAAAGCUAGGGGAGCGAACGGG